ACUGGCAGCCAUAUCACCCUGUAGCCCAAGACUGGUUACCCACUGAGCCUGGUCAGUACCUGGAUGGGAGACCUCCUGGGAAAACUAGGCUGCUGCUGGAA
rnacentral:rRNA from 1 species